GCUACCAGCAACAACAAACCCACUGAAUUUUCACAUGACAACAAUAACAACAACCCAGUAUAAUCUCACGAGUGGGGUCUGGAGAGGUUAGUGUGUACGCAGACUUUAUCCCUACCUUUAAGAAUCCUACCUUUAAGAAGACAGAGAGGUUAUUUUCGAAAGGUGCAAAUGUCACAUGCUACCAGGAACCGGAAAAAAGCUAAAAAUGAUAUACAAGAAACAGGACAAUGAAGAGGAAAUGGUGAACCAAUAAAGCCUCGUUACCAAAUAAAACCUGUAACACUCCCAAAGUUUCAAGACAAGGACACCCCUCAUUAGAACAAAUAACAGAGCUUAAGAAUACAUGCAAGGAAGAGAAAAGAGAACUCAGUGGGAAUCAAACAGUAAAUGUAACAGUAACAACACAGAUCUAAAACACAAACCACAUCAGUAAAAAACAAACAACA
rnacentral:lncRNA from 1 species